rnacentral:misc_RNA from 1 species
GAUGAAGAACGUAGCUAAAUGCGAUAACUAAUGUGAAUUGCAGAAUUCAGUGAAUCAUCGAGUCUUUGAACGCACAUUGCGCCCCCUGGUAUUCCGGGGGGCAUGCCUGUCCGAGCGUCAUUGCUGCCCUCAAGCACGGCUUGUGUGUUGGGCUCCGUCCCCCCGGGGACGGGCCCGAAAGGCAGCGGCGGCACCGAGUCCGGUCCUCGAGCGUAUGGGGCUUUGUCACCCGCUCUGUAGGCCCGGCCGGCGCCAGCCGACAACCCAUCAUCCUUUUCAGGUUGACCUCGGAUCAGGUAGGGAUACCCGCUGAACUUAAGCAUAUCAAUAAGCGGAGGA